rnacentral:rRNA from 1 species
AGCAGCCGCGGUAAUUCCAGCUCCAAUAGCGUAUAUUAAAGUUGUUGCAGUUAAAAAGCUCGUAGUUGAAUUUCGGGAUCAAAUUGUCGGUCGUGCCUCGGUACGCACUGGCAUUAUUGGUUCCUACCUUCUGAAGAACCGCGAUGUCAUUAAUUUGGUGUCGUGGGGAAUCAGGACUGUUACUUUGAAAAAAUUAGAGUGUUUAAAGCAGGCGCACGCUUGAAUACAUUAGCAUGGAAUAAUGAAAUAGGACGUUUGAUUCUAUUUUGUUGGUUUCUUAGGAUCGACGUAAUGAUUAAUAGGGAUAGUUGGGGGCGAUUAGUAUUCAAUUGUCAGAGGUGAAAUUCUUGGAUUUAUUGAAGACUAACUACUGCGAAAGCAUUUGCCAAGGAUGUUUUUCAUUUAAUCAAGAACGAAAGUUAGGGGAUCGAAGACGAUCAGAUACCGUCGUAGUCUUAACCAUAAACUAUGCCGACUAGGGGAUCGGGAUGAUGUUUAAAUUUUUUAAUGUACUCAUUCG